rnacentral:misc_RNA from 1 species
UUAUUGUUCUCUCUCUUUCCUUUGUCUUUUGUUUAUACUCUCCACUUUGUGGGAGCACAAAAAAGGUUCAGUUUCUCUUUCUAGAAGAAGAAGAAUACUCAAUUCUGAAAAAAAUGGUGGCUUUAUUCAAUUUGAUUCUUGAAAUUGUCAUGGAAAUCUGACUUCUAAAGGGUUAUAAAACUAAGAUUUCUUCUGAGAGACAUGAUCUGCUAUUCUCUUUUGGUAUCUUCUGUCAUCAGUUUUUAAUCCCGAAACCUGCUUUGGUCUUAUUACUGUAUAAGAGCAUUAAACAGCCCUUGAUGCCCCUCUACAAGAUUAGAUAAAAUGGAUCGAGCAGACACAUCAGGGUUUGUGAGUGGAGGAGGUCAACGUUUUCUGUGUGUAGUAUGAUCACAUCUAUUGAUCCUAAUAAGAACAAAAUGUACCGUGUUCCAGAUGUUGAUCUCACAAGGAGUGAUACUACAUUAAGAUUAGAUUGCUUUGGUUAUGGAGGAAAUGAGUGUGUCAGAUUUGGAGGCAGUGAAACCAAUAGCGGAAGCCAUGUUAUGCAACAGAAUGCUAUUGAUGAUGGGUGUAAAUUGGUCCUUGGUUUGGGGCCAACACCUACAAUAUGUUCUAACGACUAUUAUCCUGGUGGAUCUAAUAAAAAUAAAGGGUUUACAGCCUUGUUGAAUCAGGGACAAUUCUCUGAGAGUGAUUCUAUCCUCAAACUUGGCCUCUCAGGGAGCACCGGUGAAAUUUCUAAUGCACUUGACUUUUCGGCUAUCACUCAGAGUACUGCUGGUGCACCUCAUCAUAUCGAUCAGCUGUCUUCGGAUGGUAAAAGGCCGGCGGUCCCUAUCCUGGACGAAGGUUCAACAUCAGCCAAGAAGUCUGGUGGGUACAUGCCUUCACUUCUUCUGGCUCCAAGAAUUGAGAACAGCCAACUAUCCUUCCAAAAUAAGGAAGUUUCAGAGCUGGGUGCGAAAUCCCAUUUCCAUCUCCCUGAGCUGAGCUCUGAGCCUUCUUGUAUCUCUGACUACUCAAUGAGUAACCUCUCUGAACCAACGACAAUGGCUACAUCCUCACGCAAAAUGACCAAUCCCAAGAGAUGCAAGUUUCCAGGAUGCUGCAAAGGAGCUCGAGGAGCGACAGGUCUUUGCAUUGGGCAUGGCGGAGGACAGAGAUGCCAGAAACCUGGAUGCAACAAAGGUUCCGAGAGUAGGACUGCAUACUGCAAGGCCCAUGGAGGAGGGAAGAGGUGCGAACACCUGGGAUGCACUAAAAGUGCAGAAGGUAAGACCGACUACUGCAUAGCACAUGGUGGUGGAAGGCGUUGUGGCUUUCCUCAAGGUUGCACUAGAGCAGCACGUGGCAAGUCAGGCCUUUGCAUCAAGCAUGGUGGAGGUAAGAGGUGCAAUGUGGAAGGAUGCACCCGUAGUGCUGAGGGGAAAGUUGGGUUGUGCAUUUCACAUGGUGGUGGACGCCGUUGCCAAUUCCCUAGUUGUUCAAAAGGUGCACAGGGGAGCACUUUGUUCUGCAAAGCACAUGGUGGUG